GAAAGCUUAUCACACCACUCAUAAUGUUCAGUUUGCAUUUGUUUUACUGAUAUCGUUCACUCGUUCCAGAACACGCCAAUGAGGUACAAUCAGUGGUUGAGUUUUCAUGGUGAUGGAACUUCAAACUGAGAUUCAAACUCAGAUCGUUCAUCAUAUUCAACAUCCAACUCAAACUCGAAUCGAAAUCUGAACUCGUUCUGUCAAAAACUCAAUAUCAGACUCGGAUUCAGAAUCAGUUUCUAAUCUGGAUGCAGACUCAAUAUUGGACACAGAAACUUCAAAGCGUUAUUAGUACACAGUUACGGGUGUGAUGUAGCUGUAUGUCUAAGACGAGCUUACGUGAAGUCAAACAUGUAUUUUCCUGUAAUACCAGCAUUUUUGUUUCCUGUGAUUGACUCAUUUCACUACACUGACAGGGGCCGCUGCACUAGAGCCGUGAUUCUCAACCUGGAAGCCGCGGACCUUUACGAGCCCGUGGAAACGUUUAUGGGGGCCCGCGAAGAUGAAUAUCUUUUCCGGUUGGAUAUUGAAAUUUAAAGCUUUUUCGCAACAAACGGAAAUUAACAUAUUAAUAUCAAACAAAAUCGCGAUCUUCAUGGAUAGUAUUAUAUCAAAUAAAUGAACCAGCCACAAAAAUAAAAGUGCCUGUAGCCUGUAAAGC